UGGUGUCUCUCUCUCUAACCCUUCACCUCCUCCUUCUCUAUAGAACCUUCUCGUUCAUCUUCUCUGAAGGCUCUCACCUCCUCUCCGACCAACUCCAGCCUCGUCUCUUUCGAUUGCCAGUUGCCGUGAAACCUCACCUCACCGGCUCCCUCCAUACUUUUGAAACUCCAAGAGUUUCCACCAUGCAAGAAGAACACUGAAGCCUCGCUGGGGUCCGUUUCCGGCCUUUCUCUGAUGGGUUUUGGUCUGAUGAUGCUUUAAACUUCAUUGUUAACGAGUUUCACU
rnacentral:lncRNA from 1 species